UUAAAAUUAAAUUUUUAUAGAAAGAGAAUCCCAUAGCAUUUUAUUGCGCACAAUUAGUAGUACAUGAAUAUCAGAAGAAUCAAGAAUACAAAGCUGAUGAAUUUAAUCUGUCAGAAAUAAAAGAAAUAAUAGAUCAACUAUAUGCUCUUGAAGGAAAUGACGAUAGUGAUAAGGAGGAAGGAACUAAUGAAAUUAUUUGCUAUACAAUUUUUCAACAAGAAUUUUUCCGUCUGAAAUGUAUUGAAGAUGCUUAUUACGAACGAUUUCGAGAAGGUGAUACGAAAGAAAAUGGCACUGUGUCAAAAGAGUAUGCAAAAAAAGUCAUUUUGAGUAGCAAAUUGAAUAUUGGUCAAUUAAAAGACGAUAAACUUGAUGAUCUACUCAAUAAGUAUACAAAUCAGGACAACGAAUUCAAUUACAAUGAUAUGAAAAAAAACACACUUAAUGAUUAUGAGGGUGAUAAAUCAUUUAUUUAUUGUUAUGAUGGCGAGAAAAAUGAUUGGGUGCCGUAUAAAAACUUGAAGUAGUUCCUACUAAAAGUUUAUAAAAAUAUAGUUAAACCUUAUUGAAAAUGUUUUUUUAUAUAAUAUUUGUUAAUAAACGUUUAAUUUAUUCUAAAAAAA